UACGUAGGGGGCAAGCGUUGUCCGGAAUCAUUGGGCGUAAAGCGCGCGUAGGCGGCCAGAUAAGUCCGGUGUGAAAGUCACAGGCUCAACCUGUGAAUGCCGCUGGAAACUGUCUGGCUUGAGUCCGGAAGGGGCGAGUGGAAUUCCUGGUGUAGCGGUGAAAUGCGCAGAUAUCGGGAAGAACACCCGUGGCGAAGGCGGCUCUCUGGAACGCAACUGACGCUGAGACGCGAAAGCGUGGGGAGCAAACAGG
rnacentral:rRNA from 1 species